UGGGGAAUAUUGCACAAUGGGCGCAAGCCUGAUGCAGCCAUGCCGCGUGUGUGAAGAAGGCCUUCGGGUUGUAAAGCACUUUCAGCGAGGAGGAAGGUGGUGAGCUUAAUACGCUCAUCAAUUGACGUUACUCGCAGAAGAAGCACCGGCUAACUCCGUGCCAGCAGCCGCGGUAAUACGGAGGGUGCAAGCGUUAAUCGGAAUUACUGGGCGUAAAGCGCACGCAGGCGGUUUGUUAAGUCAGAUGUGAAAUCCCCGGGCUCAACCUGGGAACUGCAUUUGAAACUGGCAAGCUAGAGUCUCGUAGAGGGGGGUAGAAUUCCAGGUGUAGCGGUGAAAUGCGUAGAGAUCUGGAGGAAUACCGGUGGCGAAGGCGGCCCCCCUGGACGAAGACUGACGCUCAGGUGCGAAAGCGUGGGGCAGCAAACAGGAUUAGAUACCCUGGUAGUCCAGCGCUGUAAACGAUGUCGAUUUGGAGGUUGUGCCCUUGAGGCGUGGCUUCCGGAGCUAACGCGUUAAAUCGACCGCCUGGGGGAGUACGGCCGCAAGGUUAAAAA
rnacentral:rRNA from 1 species